UACGUAGGGUGCAAGCGUUAAUCGGAAUUACUGGGCGUAAAGCGUGCGCAGGCGGUUUUGUAAGACAGGUGUGAAAUCCCCGGGCUUAACCUGGGAACUGCAUUUGUGACUGCAAGGCUGGAGUGCGGCAGAGGGGGAUGGAAUUCCGCGUGUAGCAGUGAAAUGCGUAGAUAUCGAGAGGAACACCUGCGGCGAAGGCGGGUUGCUGGGCUGACACUGACGCUGAGGCGCGAAAGCUAGGGGAGCGAACGGG
rnacentral:rRNA from 1 species